GGGCCGGGUCCGGGUCCGGGUCCGGGUCCGGCCCGACGGGGCGAGCCUGCAGCGGGCGCGCCGGGGCGGGGGCCGUGGUGCGGGGCUGGCCCGGCCCGGCCCGUGUGCGCUGCCCUUGCCGCAGCCGGGGCCGGGGCCGUGUGUGCAGCCGCCCCUGCCCGCCAGCCGCGAUGCCCGGCCGGCCGGCUCUGCCGCUCGGCGGACACCGCCCCCUUCCCCCCCCGGGGCCUGGGGGCGGCAAGAGGCGGCUGGGCGUGGGAGUGCGCGGGCGGCGCCCUCCUCCGCCACCGCCUCUCCGCGCGGCCGUGGGCAUCUCUGCCAGCCCUGCACCGCGGUGCCUGCGCGGUGGCUGCAGCGCGCAGGGGCCUGGAGCACGCGGGCGCCGGGCACGGGCAGGGGGCCCCGCUCUGGCGAGCCGUGCCGUGGGGGCCUCCCUCGGGCCACGGGGCUCUGGAGAUGCCCCUCGCAGCCAGACGCCGGCCCCAGCCUCUGCCCACAGCUGCCACGCGCAGCCGUGGCCCCUCCGUCCUGCCAGUGGCCCCCUCCCGACAGCGGGAAGGUGUCUUAAGUUGGGGGCCUCAGGGUUGCGUGGCACCAUCGCCGCGAGUUCCCCGCCGGGACCCCGUGGGUGCAGCGGCAGCUCUUCCUCGUGCAUUGAAGCACACGUGCUCUGGGCUGCGCCUUCACAGCUCGGUCCCGUGGCGGCCCCCGCGCCCCUCGGGAGCGGGCUCUGCGCCCCCGGUCCAGGAGCCCUGGCUGGUGUAGGAGGCAGAGCUGUGCCCAGCGCUGCCCGUAGCAGCUCGGCCACGUUGCCCGGGCCUGGGCUUCCUCGUGAACUUGGCCCCGACGCACGCAGCGCUCGCUAUGUGACAUCUGCUAUAUUUGGCUCUGCCAACUGCCCCGGCCGGCUGGUCUGGGCUCCUCCCCAAUCCCUGGUUUGGCUCCCAGGGCAGCUCCUGGGUUCAAGGCAGGGCAGGGCAGGAGGCCUGGGCCUGCUCCCGGGUUGCUUCACUGCCUGCGUGCGCCGGCAUCUGCGUUCAGGCCGUGCUGGGGGCCGGUCCUGGCCUGGCAUCCCCGGCCUGCUCUGCACGGCGUGUCCUGGGGCUCUGGCAGCUGCUGGCUCCGCGCCACGUGCCACCUGGGCUCAGGGGCUCUGCCACCUGCCCAGCCCCACGCACCUGCUUCCCGGCUCUGCAGAGUCAGCCCUGAGGACAGGAGCGUGGUGCUGAGCCGCAGAGAAACGCGGGGAGCUCCGGUCCCCCGGGGCACGUGCAUUGCCUGCCACGGCCAAGGAGCCAGCGUGGACCCACGCUGAGCCCGCCAGAGUGGGGAGGCCCAGAGCUCGGUGCCAUAGAGCCGUGGGGAGCAGCACCUGCCUCUGUUGGGGGUCGAGCCCCCAGGCAGCCCCAGGGGCUGGCAGGUGCCACGCAGUGCAUUCGGGUGGAGCGCAAGCCCCGUGGCGAAGGGAGUCGGUGUGGCUGGAGCACUCGCGUAUCUGUGGGGUAGGUCUGGGCAUCGUGGAGCCUGGAGCCCUCCAACAGCUGCGCUCCGGUGCCGCCGGGCACCGAGGACCCAGUCCAGCCAUGCCCGCGAGAGGCCUGGCCUUGCUUUCCUGGCUCGGGACCCCUUGGCCCUGGCCCAGUUGUUGGCCACGGGGAGCGGUGGGCCUGGCUGGGCCUGGGACUCGGGCGUCCUGGGGGCGCGGCGCUGCUGAGCCGAGGUGAUGGCUUAGGAUUGCUGAUGCCGUAAAUAGGCUGCGCACUGGAAUUACGGAGCCUUAGAGCAAAGCGGCUUAGCCCUCCUUCCCGGAGACGCCGGCGGGGCCCGUGUCUCCUCGCGCCAGUGGUGCGGGCUGGGGGCUGCAUUCCCCUGGGCUGGGAGCCCCGAGAGCCUCCAGCGCUGGGGCGGGAAGGAGAAGGCCUCUAGCUCUUCCCAGCCUCCGGUCCACGGCCUCCCUGCCCUUGGCGUGCUGCCGUGCUGCGGUUUCCUUGGCUGGGGUUUGGCCCCGGGAGGGGCUCGUGGCUGGGUCCAGCUUGUCUGUUUUGCUCCCGGGGCUGGCGGCUGCCCAGGCCUGCGGCUCCAGGGGCAGCUUCCUCUGACAGCGUGGGCAUCCUGGGUGCCGCUGGCACGUCCGUGCCCCCGUGCAGCGGGAGGGAUGGCAGGGGGCCCUGGCACGGCGAGACCCUUGGGGCCUGUGCAGAGGCUGCGAUGGUGCUGGAGGGGGGCCGGGAUGCAGGGUGGUGUCCUGCACCGAGGGCUCGGGGAGCCGCGCUGGGGCGGGCUCUGGGCUCCAGGGUCACAGCCUGGCCUGGGCAGGCCGCCCUGCCCUUCCCGGGGGUGGCACAGGUGCUUCCCUCCUCGGGGAGGAGGACGGUGUUGUUUACCAGCCCGGUGCACCGCCUGGCGCUGGAGCCGUGACUCAGCAGGCUGCGCCGUGGGCCUCCGUGGCUCGGUUCCUGCAUGGGUCCGCCCCCGCCCCUGCACACGCAUGUGCAUGUGGACUUGACUCCGAGGGCCGUGAUGCCAGCUGCCUCCGUGUGACCCGGCCCGUGGCUCUGGCUGCGGUCCCGGGGACUGGGGAAACGGGGACUUUCCAGUCAUCAGAGACCCGGGGCAGCUGGCGCAGGCCUUUGUCUUCCCGGCCUUUCCCCUCCCCUUCGCCUCCGCAGGCUCCUCUCUCCCCGGCUGGAAGUGCUUGUGCGUGGUGCCGGGGCAGGCCGGCUCCGUGCCGGCGGGGGCUUAGCUUCCGGGUGACCAGGACUCAGGCGGCCGUGAGCACCGGGGACAUGUCUCACGAGAAGAGCUUCUUGGUGUCGGGCGAGGGCUACCCGGGGCAGCAGCCCCCGG